AGAGUUUGAUCCUGGCUCAGGAUGAACGCUGGCGGCGCGCCUAACACAUGCAAGUCGAACGGCACCUGCCCUCGGGCAGAAGCGAGUGGCGAACGGCUGAGUAACACGUGGAGAACCUGCCCCCUCCCCCGGGAUAGCCGCCCGAAAGGACGGGUAAUACCGGAUACCCCGGGGUGCCGCAUGGCACCCCGGCUAAAGCCCCGACGGGAGGGGAUGGCUCCGCGGCCCAUCAGGUAGACGGCGGGGUGACGGCCCACCGUGCCGACAACGGGUAGCCGGGUUGAGAGACCGACCGGCCAGAUUGGGGCUGAGACACGGCCCAGACUCCUACGGGAGGCAGCAGUGGGGAAUCUUGCGCAAUGGGGGGAACCCUGACGCAGCGACGCCGCGUGCGGGACGGAGGCCUUCGGGUCGUAAACCGCUUUCAGCAGGGAAGAGUCAAGACUGUACCUGCAGAAGAAGCCCCGGCUAACUACGUGCCAGCAGCCGCGGUAAUACGUAGGGGCGAGCGUAUCCGGAUUCAUUGGGCGUAAAGCGCGCGUAGGCGGCCCGGCAGGCCCGGGGUCGAAGCGGGGGCUCAACCCCCCGAAGCCCCCGGAACCUCCGCGGCUUGGGUCCGGUAGGGGAGGGUGGAACACCCGGUGUAGCGGUGGAAUGCGCAGAUAUCGGGUGGAACACCGGUGGCGAAGGCGGCCCUCUGGGCCGAGACCGACGCUGAGGCGCGAAAGCUGGGGGAGCGAACAGGAUUAGAUACCCUGGUAGUCCCAGCCGUAAACGAUGGACGCUAGGUGUGGGGGGACGAUCCCCCCGUGCCGCAGCCAACGCAUUAAGCGUCCCGCCUGGGGAGUACGGCCGCAAGGCUAAAACUCAAAGGAAUUGACGGGGGCCCGCACAAGCAGCGGAGCAUGUGGCUUAAUUCAAAGCAACGCGAAGAACAUUACCAGGGCUUGACAUAUGGGUGAAGCGGGGGAGACCCCGUGGCCGAGAGGAGCCCAUACAGGUGGUGCAUGGCUGUCGUCAGCUCGUGUCGUGAGAUGUUGGGUUAAGUCCCGCAACGAGCGCAACCCCCGCCGCGUGUUGCCAUCGGGUGAUGCCGGGAACCCACGCGGGACCGCCGCCGUCAAGGCGGAGGAGGGCGGGGACGACGUCAAGUCAUCAUGCCCCUUAUGCCCUGGGCUGCACACGUGCUACAAUGGCCGGUACAGAGGGAUGCCACCCCGCGAGGGGGAGCGGAUCCCGGAAAGCCGGCCCCAGUUCGGAUUGGGGGCUGCAACCCGCCCCCAUGAAGUCGGAGUUGCUAGUAAUCGCGGAUCAGCAUGCCGCGGUGAAUGCGUUCCCGGGCCUUGCACACACCGCCCGUC
rnacentral:rRNA from 1 species